AAACGGUUUUUGAUCAAGCUAGGCUAGACUGACGAUAGAUCAAUAUAUAUCUGAAAGUAUUUGGGGGUUUUUUCAUCCCAGCGUCUCUUUUGCUCCCGAAGACCCCAUUUGCACAGCAGGUGAAAUCAUGGAUGGUUUGCUUAAGGAAAUAAGAAGCAAGGACCAAGCAGCCGCCUCUGUACUGGAACAGGCGGAUUUACGCAGUGACUCAGAUCUCCAGUCACUGACUUUACAAGACCUGGGUUUGCUGUUCCCUGGAGUUAAAAAUGUCAAACUGAGAAGGGAUAUCUUUGAUAUAAUACACAAGCAGAAAUCAAUUGGUGAGCUCAUAGAAAAAUCCAAGCACUUCAUCCCACAUGACUCUCUCAGGGCUGCCUUAACUGAAAAUGGAGUUUUGGUCGACUACCUGAAAAUGUUGAAGGAAAUGAAGACCCAAAUGAAUAAAGAUUUCCUUGAUCCGCAUAUCAAUCUACUGGAGGACUUCAGGAAAUCUCAACCAUCGCAGGACCAGGACAAAGGUUUUUAAUCCAGUUUUUUUAAGCCUAAUAUUAACGUGUCUUAAUUUCAUGAGUGCAGAUUCAAAGCUUUUACAGAGGGUAGCAAACUUCAACUUAAUGUAGGUAAAGCUUUUUAUCUCAUCCAGUCCAUUUAUGCUGAAUAUGCAUAAGCCAUGUCUUUGAUAUUGAAUAGACACAAUAUCUGACCACAGCUCAGGCUUGUUUGCUUUUACAUCUACUUUUACAUGAAUCCACAGAAUGGAAAUAACAGAGACAUGAAGUCUCAGUUGACAUGUCAUUCUCUCAAUGUAACGGACAGAUUAACAGGCAUCCAUUUUUUUAGUCAAUAAUGGGCCCUUGCUGCUCCAACAUGACUGCACACCAAUGCACCAAGCAAAGUCCAUAAAGUCAUCAAUUAGCCACUUUGGUGUGGAAGAACUUGACUGGUCUGCGCAGAGUUCUGACCUCAACCCGACACAACAACUUUGGGAUUAAUUAGAGUGGAGACUGGGAAUCAGGCCUUCUCGUCAACAUCAACGUCUGACUUCACAAAUUCCCAUGAACACUAACCCUUGUGGGUUAAUUCUGAAAUGAUGGGCGUUUUGUGAUCAGCUUGGCUAGACUGACAACACGAUCAACAAUAUCUACAGCUAAAAGUGUUUGGGGGUUUUUUUUGGGGGGGGGGGGGGGGGGGGUUUCAUCCCAGCAUCUUCUCUUUUGCUCCUGCAGGCCCAGCUUGUAGAGCAGGUCUGUUUCCACAUUGUUCAGAUGUUAUGUCAAUCCAACAGGAGAACAGAAACAGGAACUAUACAGUAUGAGAAAUGUCCAACCUCCGUUUUCUCUGAUUUUUUCUUCUUUUCUGCAGGUGAAAUCAUGGAUAUUUUGCUUAAGGAAAUAAGACGCAAGGAUGAAGUGGCAGCCAAUAAACUGGAAGAGGAAGGUUUGAGAGCUGACUCAGAUCUCCAGUUACUGACUUUACAAGACCUGGGUUUGCUGUUACCUGGAGUUGAAAAUGUCAAACGGAUAAGGGAAAUCUUUGAUAUAAUACACAAGCAGAAACCAAUUGGUGUGCUCAUAGAAAAAUUCAAGGACUUCAUCCCACAUGAAUCUUUCAGGGCUGCCUUAACUGAAAAUGGAGUUUUGGUUGACUACCUGAAAAUGUUGAAGGAAAUGAAGAUCCAAUUGAAUAAAGUGCAAGAUUUCCUUGAUGCACAUAUCAAUCUACUGGAGGACCUCAGGAAAUCUCAACCAUUGCAGAACCAGGACAAAGGUUCUUCGUCAAGUGGUCCAGUGAAGCGCCACAAUAGCCAAACCAGUGACCCUCCACAAAUGCAACAAGAGGAAAACGUUUUGCAUAAAGAAAAAAGACACAAGGAUGAAAAAGCAGCAGGUUCUUCGUCAAGUAGUGAGAAUAGCCAAACUAGUGACCUUCCAGAAAUACAACAAGCCACACUGAAGUACAAGAUGGUGAUAAGUGGAAAAACCUUUAAUGCCCAUCAACAGAUACUGGAAAAAGUAAAGGCUUUAAAUGAGGAUCCAGAUUUGAAUUUGAUCGAACAGGAAGACAGCAAUCAGGAUUGCCAGGCCAUUAUUGUCUUCUGUCCCAUUGUUUCACGUAUGGGGACAGAUAUUGAUGCAGCCAUGACGCAAGUCAAAGGUUCUCAGCCUGUCAUUCUGGUUUUGAUGCAUCACGCACAUGAACCCAAGCAUGUAACUUUAAUGAAAAUACAGAAUAAUGUUUCUAAUGUUGUGUUACCUUUCCAUGUUUUCUACCAUGAGACAGUGCAUGGAUUGUUGCAGUGUCAGCAAAAUAACGAUGCCAUUUCUGAAAUUCGAAAGGCAUUACUGAAGCACGCAGAUAUCCAGACAAUUAAAGAUACAAGUGGAAAGACACAGAAUGUAGCUGCUAAAAGUAGUAAUCGUGGUGGGAGUUUUAUUUUUCGUUUUUGGUAAAUAAUGAUAGUGUAAAUUCAGAUAUUACAAGUCAAAGAAACUGUAUAUAUAUCCCAUGCAUUACUCUUUUGUAAUCUAAUUUUUUUUGCGCUGUAUCACUUCAGUAGUGUAGAUUGCUCUGACCAUUUGAGUAGGAAGCGAAAAUUUUAUGGUUUUGAUCAUGCAAAAUAAUUAUUUUGUACAUUGUGAAACAAAAGGACAGCACAGAAUCGUCUUUGUGACCUUUAUUUCAGUACUUUAAGAUAUUUCAGCUGUAAGGGUAGUUGCAGAGUCAACAGGUGUGAUCAUGAAGUGUCAAAGAAGAGGUCAGAGACACAGUAUAUGGGUGUAGAUAGUCAUAAAACUACUUUCAACUGUACCAACUGCUGUUUAUCUCUAAAAACAAAAGUGACAGCUACAGCUGUAUGUACACAGUGACAUCGUAAGUCCUUUGAUCAUUAAGAUAAAUAAUAAAUAUAUUUAUAUCAAAGUCAAACAUAUUGUGAUUAGUUUCACGGUUGCUAUGUAAAUCUGCAAGUUAUUUUCAUCUUUCAGAAAAAAAAAAUCAAGCCAAUGUUUAAAAUUGUGAAUAAAAAUGUAAAAAA
ensembl:lncRNA